rnacentral:tRNA from 1 species
GCAGAGAUGGCUCAGUGGUUAAGAGCACUGAAUUGCUCUUCCAGAGAUCCUGAGUUCGAUUCCCAGCAAUGACA